rnacentral:rRNA from 1 species
GACGAACGUUGGCGGCGUGCUUAAUACAUGCAAGUCAACUGAAGCAGUGGUAGCAAUAUCGCUGUGGAGGUGGCGCACGGGUGAGUAACACGUAGGUAAUCUGCCUUCAGGUCUGGCAUAACUCCGGGAAACCGGGGCUAAUAGCAGAUGAUGCAGCGGCUCGACAUCGAGACAGUUGUUAAAGCUAUGGCGCCUGAAGAUGAGCCUGCGUCUGAUUAGCUAGUUGGCGGGGUAACGGCCCACCAAGGCAACGAUCAGUAGCUGGUCUGAGAGGAUGAUCAGCCACACUGGAACUGAGACACGGUCCAGACUCCUACGGGAGGCAGCAGUAAGGAAUAUUGCUCAAUGGGAGAAAUCCUGAAGCAGCAACGCCGCGUGAGGGACGAAGGGCUUUUGCUUGUAAACCUCUGUAGUGAGAGAAAAAAAUCCCAAUCUUUGGGACAUGAUGGUAUCUCAAAAGUAAGCCCCGGCGAACUACGU